rnacentral:rRNA from 1 species
AUUGAACGCUGGCGGCAGGCCUAACACAUGCAAGUCGAACGAGUGGCGGACGGGUGAGUAAUGUAUGGGAAACUGCCUGAUGGAGGGGGAUAACUACUGGCAACGGUAGCUAAUACCGCAUACCAUCGGAUGUGCCCAGAUGGGAUUGGCUAGUAGGUUGGGUAAAGGAUCACCUAGGCGACGAUCCCUAGCUGGUCUGAGAGGAUGACCAGCCACCCUGGAACUGAGACACGGCCCAGACUCCUACGGUAGGCAGCAGUGGGGAAUAUUGCAUAAGGGGCUCAAGCCGGAUGCAACCCUGCCACGUGUAGGGCAGAGGCCUUCGGGUUGUAAAGGACUUUCAGCGGGGAGGAGUUACCCGCAGAAGAAGCACCGGCUAAUUCCGUGCCAGCAGCCGCGGUAAUUC